rnacentral:sRNA from 1 species
UGUACUUUCUGUUUUGGCCUUCUUGCAGCAGCUACAGUGACCGAAAAGGUUGAGCCACUGAAUACAACAAGCAUUGAAAAUGUGACUUUUAUAGAAGGAGAUAUUGCCAUUCUGCCUUGCCCUUUUAAGACAAUGGGCUACCUAAAGGUAAUUUGGCUCAGCCCUGAUAUGACAGUGAUCAGUCUUAUGGAUCGGCGCCUCAUCGGCGACGUACGUAUGCGUGUGGCGCGUCCUGACAAUGAUACAUGGAACCUUCACAUCAACAACAUCCGCUCCAAAGACACCGGCUACUAUCAGUGCAGCA